UCAACUUCAUCAUCAUCAUUAUUAUCAUCUGCCGCUGCAACAGCAACAACAACAACAACAGUAAUGCAAACCGACAAUGCAGACAAAAAACUGAAGACAAAAAAAAAGAACGAGCAAAAAUGAAAUGAAUGUAAAACCCGAUCAAGUGAGCUAAAGGAUCGCCCCGUCGCGACGGACUUGCCAAAAAGGGAGAAUCGAGAAGCUGACUGUAAACAGGCUUUCGCUGAGCAAAGCCAAGCAAAGCCUGAAGUCUGAAGACUCAUAUAAAUAGAAGUGAUCUGCUCCUGGCUGGCUCAUUCAGUGUUUUGUGCUGAGUCCAAGAGGUUGGGCCCACGGCCAGCAAUCGUGCAACAUUUGGAUUCGUUUCGGUAUCGGGUGAACAGUCGUCGUCGUCGCAGCAAAGCUCAAAACAGAGAUCACACAGAAUGCAGAUCUGUAAAAUUUCAAUUGGAUCGCUACAGAUCGUGUUUGCAUCUGCCUCAGCUGCGCUGCGCACUUCAAAUCCCCAAAUGGAAAGUAAUCGUUGACUGAACCCAACCCCACUCCCAACUCUCUUUCACCACCAUCCAUCCAUCCGACCGCUCGGCACAUAACACCUCCAACACUUUCGGCUUGUUUGGCACCGCACAUCCUAAACAUCAUCCAGCACCGACCGGCAAAGCAGCACCUGAAGAUGAAGUUGAAGCUGAAGUUGACACGAAAUUUGUCGGCGGCAAAUUGGCACUUGAUUGUUAGCCACGGCCAAUUCGCUUUUUGGCACUCAUCACAAGGCAUUGAAUCGCACGGACCCGUUGGAAGACCCCCCAAAAACACUCUCGGCCUUUGAACAAAAUUUACAUUCGUGAUUAAGUUUAGGUGUAACCAAUAAACACAAAAAAAAACUACAAUAGGCUACCAAAAACCA